AGCAGUAGCCACGGUAAUACGUAGGUGGCAAGCGUUGUCCGGAAUUAUUGGGCGUAAAGCGCGCGCAGGCGGAUAGGUCAGUCUGUCUUAAAAGUUCGGGGCUUAACCCCGUGAUGGGAUGGAAACUGCCAAUCUAGAGUAUCGGAGAGGAAAGUGGAAUUCCUAGUGUAGCGGUGAAAUGCGUAGAUAUUAGGAAGAACACCAGUGGCGAAGGCGACUUUCUGGACGAAAACUGACGCUGAGGCGCGAAAGCCAGGGGAGCGAACGGGAUUAGAUACCCCCGUAGUCCCUGUCUCUUAUACA
rnacentral:rRNA from 1 species